rnacentral:rRNA from 1 species
AACGAACGCUGGCGGCAUGCCUAACACAUGCAAGUCGAACGAGAUCUUCGGGUCUAGUGGCACACGGGUGCGUAACGCGUGGGAAUCUGCCCUUUGGUUCGGGAUAACAGUUGGAAACGACUGCUAAUACCGGAUGAUGACGAAAGUCCAAAGAUUUAUCGCCAGAGGAUGAGCCCGCGUAGGAUUAGCUAGUUGGUGUGGUAAAGGCGCACCAAGGCGACGAUCCUUAGCUGGUCUGAGAGGAUGAUCAGCCACACUGGGACUGAGACACGGCCCAGACUCCUACGGGAGGCAGCAGUGGGGAAUAUUGGACAAUGGGCGAAAGCCUGAUCCAGCAAUGCCGCGUGAGUGAUGAAGGCCUUAGGGUUGUAAAGCUCUUUUACCCGGGAUGAUAAUGACAGUACCGGGAGAAUAAGCUCCGGCUAACUCCGUGCCAGCCGCCGCAGUAA